rnacentral:lncRNA from 1 species
CUUCUUCCCAAUAAAAGAGUUCAGCACCUGUCCCUCGAUCUCCCUUUCCAAGGACCCCUAAGGUCAGAGGAGCCGUCACAGGACCCAAAGAGAAAGGUAUUUGUCUGUCUCUGUGUGGCUAUUUCAUGCAGCCCAGUUCCCCUAGAGUGACCCUGAGUGUUUAGUUGUGGAAUGCGACAAUUGGCACCUGAACAGGGACUCCAGGGUGAAUUUUAGAAGUUUAGUAGGUUUGGAAUUUCCUCCAGAAGUUAAGCGCCCUUAGGAUUUCAAAGUAUUGGGGGCUGAAUUGUAGAAAGUAAGUGAAUUAGGCAGAAGAAAAAUCUGUGAUAAAAAUAUUUAAUAUCUGGGAAUAUUUCAUCUUUAGAUUAAAAAAAUUAUUUUUGCAAUUCUAGAGACCCUAAAUAAAUGUGAAGAAUUAUUAAGAUGAUUAAUGGGAUAUAUUGUUAAGUUCAUUCCUCUCCUAUGGUAAAAGUGCUUUUGUGGACCUUUUUUGGAUUGUUUUUGUGAAUCUUUGUAUUUUGAAAUAUUAGGUAAAGAUUUUUUGGGUUUAUGUACUAGAAGUCUGCACUUGGAGAGUGCGAAAAAGGGAAGAAGGAUUCUAUGAUGAGACUUGAUACAAGGAUUCUUGACCUGUAGAGAAGUGAAUUUUGUUUUUCUGUUGUUUUGUGGAUAUUCAGUUUAUACUGGACCUCUGCUACAUUCUUGUCCUACAGAUCAGAAUGGCUGGAACUUAGCCGCUGCUCUUUAUGGGGUCUGUAACUCGACCCACUGCCUGCAGUGCUUUUAACCCUUAAACGACCUGGCCUGGGUGCCAAACGCAGAUUGCCUUAAAAUCUGAUAGUAACACUGGCGUCUGCCCUUAAAACUCACUUUUAAAUAAGUGCCACGUGCUGUAAGGGAAAACACUUGCUGCCGCAAGCGCAGGUGGCAGACACAAGGCAAACUACUUCCCGCAGGGUGGAGAAAAAAACAAAUCAUAGCAGUGCAACCGGCUAGAGAAGCUCAAGGUGCCUCUGCCCCUGACAAUGGGCAGUCAGCUCCAAGCUGUUUCCAUCACCGUGGUAACCGAAGGAAGCCUGGCUGGCGGGAGGAGGCUUCUUGGUCCCGCCCCCCGCAUUUCCACAGGCUUCCCACUGGUCCUUGCACUGUCACUCAGACAGGACUUCUGGUUCCGCCUUCCAGCCACUAGCCUGUACUUCCUGUUUCAGACCUACUACCGGGAACUACACAGAGCCUACAUUUUUAAGAAUGCCCACCUGGUAAAUGCUAAUGAAAGAUAUCUUUUUCAGGCAAAAUCUAAUUCCACAGAUUUCCACAUUGCAGCCCUGAAUUUAAGUUAUUUAUGAGCUAAAUAACCUGAUGAUUUUUUUCUCUAUGGUUAUGUUACUAAAUAAUGCUAUUAAUGGGAAUUAUCCAAAAUAUGUUUCUUUUUUGCUUUUAAUUUUGAAGGUUAUGAAGAUGUAUUUGCUUGCCUCAGGAACAAAAGCCGGCAAUGUUCCUGUGAUAAUCAAAAAAUCCUUAUUGUCAUUCCUGACUAUAUAAUCACAAGAAAUAAAUAUAUACACAAGGAUCUUAUUAUGUGAUGUCAUGUAUAUAAAAAAUGCACUACUUAUUCAAGGAAAAUUAAAAUGGAU